UAAAGACUGCGGGAGGAAGGUGUACAGACCUGGGGCAGGUGUUGCGCGUUCCUUUCUUAGGCCAGGAAACGAGCUGCAGAGCUGAUCUGGCAUCUGGGGUAACAUCGGCCAUGCUGUCCCCAGGCACAGGUGUGCUGCGGGAGACCAAGUUCCAGGCUCCCUCAAGCAGCCUCGUCAACUCCAGAACUCCCCUUGUUGGGAGGGCCUCCGCGACAGCCAGAAUCCUGACUCUUGCAGUCCCUCCCCGUAGUCUAACUGUUCUCCCACCAGCCAAGCUAGGAGGAAGAGGAAGAGACAGAAUCUGAGGAAAUGAAGAAGUUAUCCUCAGGCUGCGGGUGUGGGUGAUCACGUUUGGCUGCGACAGUGGAAUAAGGAAGUUUGCAGAAAUGUGUUGGAGUUAAAGAUGGCGGGCAGGAUGGAGAAGGGAGGAAGCUGCUGAGAUCCCGGCAGACUGAGCUCCAGUGGGCUCUCCAAGGCCAGUUCCAGAAGCAGGCAACAGACAAGGGCUUUUAGCUCAUCGAGGACCUCGAGUCAUCUUUCAAGUAAGCCCUGCCCACCCCCACCAUCAGCCUGGCUCCGGCCUCCUCACCGCAGUCAAGAAGGGGCAGUCAGGGGCUACACCAGCUGCCAGGAGGUUGGGGUCCAAAAAGGAUCAAGAAGACAUGAAUGAGGAUCCUGUCCAGGACGACCUUGAGGAGUUUUAGGCCAGAACCCAGUCCUUUCUUGGCUUUCUUCCCUGCUGUGUGCAGACGUGAUACUGCACAGGCGGCCAGGGGGCCUUGCUGGGUGACCUUGAA